rnacentral:rRNA from 1 species
GACGUGGAAGACUAGUGUUAUUUCAUCUUUAAUAGGGUUUUAAAGGGGUAACUAGACGGUAUUUCUAGCCAAAAAUAGGUACAGAUUUACUAGAGUUAUAUGAGAGAAGGUGAGUAUUUUAAGGGUGGAGAGAUGAAAUUUUUUUUAAUACCUUAAGGACUGAUAAUGGCGAAAGCAACCUUUUUUUUCUAUGUAAUAACUGACGUUUUGAGGGGACGAAGGCCUGGGGUAGCCAACAGGG